rnacentral:rRNA from 1 species
UACAGAGGUCCCAAGCGUUGUUCGGAUUCACUGGGCGUAAAGGGUGCGCAGGUGGGCUGUCAAGUUUGAUGUGAAAGCCCCGGGCUUAACCCGGGAAUGGCAUUGAAUACUGAUGGUCUGGAGGAUUGGAGGGGGGACUGGAAUUCUUGGUGUAGCAGUGAAAUGCGUAGAUAUCAAGAGGAACACCAGUGGCGAAGGCGACUUCCUGGCCUGUUCUUGACGCUGAGGCGCGAAAGCUAGGGGAGCAAACGGG